AGAGUUUGAUCCUGGCUCAGAUUGAACGCUGGCGGAACGCUUUACACAUGCAAGUCGAACGGUAACGUGGGGAGGAGCUUGCUCCACCCCGACGACGAGUGGCGAACGGGUGAGUAAUACAUCGGAACGUGUCCGCUCGUGGGGGACAACCAGCCGAAAGGUUGGCUAAUACCGCAUGAGUUCUACGGAAGAAAGAGGGGGACCCGCAAGGGCCUCUCGCGAGCGGAGCGGCCGAUGACUGAUUAGCCGGUUGGUGAGGUAACGGCUCACCAAAGCAACGAUCAGUAGCUGGUCUGAGAGGACGACCAGCCACACUGGGACUGAGACACGGCCCAGACUCCUACGGGAGGCAGCAGUGGGGAAUUUUGGACAAUGGGCGCAAGCCUGAUCCAGCUAUUCCGCGUGUGGGAUGAAGGCCCUCGGGUUGUAAACCACUUUUGUAGAGAACGAAAAGACAUCUUCGAAUAAAGGAUGUUGCUGACGGUACUCUAAGAAUAAGCACCGGCUAACUACGUGCCAGCAGCCGCGGUAAUACGUAGGGUGCGAGCGUUAAUCGGAAUUACUGGGCGUAAAGGGUGCGCAGGCGGUUGAGUAAGACAGAUGUGAAAUCCCCGAGCUUAACUCGGGAAUGGCAUAUGUGACUGCUCGACUAGAGUGUGUCAGAGGGAGGUGGAAUUCCACGUGUAGCAGUGAAAUGCGUAGAUAUGUGGAAGAACACCGAUGGCGAAGGCAGCCUCCUGGGACAUAACUGACGCUCAGGCACGAAAGCGUGGGGAGCAAACAGGAUUAGAUACCCUGGUAGUCCACGCCCUAAACGAUGUUAACUAGUUGUUGGGAUGUAACAAUCUCAGUAACGCAGCCAACGCGAGAAGUUAACCGCCUGGGAAGUACGGUCGCAAGACUAAAACUCAAAGGAAUUGACGGGGACCCGCACAAGCGGUGGAUGAUGUGGAUUAAUUCGAUGCAACGCGAAAAACCUUACCUACCCUUGACAUGUCAGGAAGCUCUUGUAAUGAGAGCGUGCCCGCAAGGGAG
rnacentral:rRNA from 1 species